GACAGAGGUGCCGAGCGUUAGGCGGAAUCACUGGGCUUAAAGCGUGUGUAGGCGGACCGUUAAGUGUCUUGUGAAAUCCCCCGGCUCAACCGGGGAAUUGCUGGGCAUACUGGCGGUCUUGAGCAGUCUAGGGGCAGAUGGAACAAGUGGUGGAGCGGUGAAAUGCGUAGAUAUCACUUGGAACGCCAAAGGUGAAGACAGUCUGGGACGGUACUGACGCUGAGACGCGAAAGCGUGGGGAGCGAACAGG
rnacentral:rRNA from 1 species